GAUGAACGCUGGCGGCGUGCCUAAUACAUGCAAGUCGAGCGAACAGACGAGGAGCUUGCUCCUCUGACGUUAGCGGCGGACGGGUGAGUAACACGUGGAUAACCUACCUAUAAGACUGGGAUAACUUCGGGAAACCGGAGCUAAUACCGGAUAACAUGUUGAACCGCAUGGUUCAACAGUGAAAGACGGUCUUGCUGUCACUUAUAGAUGGAUCCGCGCCGCAUUAGCUAGUUGGUAAGGUAACGGCUUACCAAGGCAACGAUGCGUAGCCGACCUGAGAGGGUGAUCGGCCACACUGGAACUGAGACACGGUCCCGACUCCUAAGGGAGGCAGCAGUAGGGAAUCUUCCGCAAUGGGCGAAAGCCUGACGGAGCAACGCCGGGUGAGGGAAGAAGGUCUUCGGAUCGUAAAACUCUGUUAUUAGGGAAGAACAAAUGUGUAAGUAACUAUGCACGUCUUGACGGUACCUAAUCAGAAAGCCACGGCUAACUACGUG
rnacentral:rRNA from 1 species